rnacentral:rRNA from 1 species
AGUGAACGCUGGCGGUAGGCCUAACACAUGCCAGUCGAACGGCAGCACAGUAAGAGCUUGCUCUUACGGGUGGCGAGUGGCGGACGGGUGAGGAAUACCUCGGAAUCUACUUUUUCGUGGGGGAUAACGUAGGGAAACUUACGCUAAUACCGCAUACGACCUACGGGUGAAAGCAGGGGAUCUUCCGACCUUGCGCGAUUGUAUGAGCCGAUGUCGGAUUAGCUAGUUGGCGGGGUAAAGGCCCACCAAGGCGACGACCCGUAGCUGGUCUGAGAGGAUGAUCAGCCACACUGGAACUGAGACACGGUCCAGACUCCUACGGGAGGCAGCAGUGGGGAAUAUUGGACAAUGGGCGCAAGCCUGAUCCAGCCAUACCGCGUGGGUGAAGAAGGCAUUCGGGUUGUAAAGCCCUUUUGUUGGGAAAGAAAAGCAGCAGGUUAAUACCCCGCUGUUCUGACGGUACCAAAAGAAUAAGCACCGGCUAACUUCGUG